UCAAACUUGGUCAUUUAGAGGAAGUAAAAGUUGUAACAAGGUUUCCGUAGGUGAACCUGCGGAAGGAUCAUUAACAAAUCCAUAUGCGUGAGUUGGGUGGGUAAUUCUGCUGCCUGCUCACGAAUAUUAAACCCGGCUAGUCCGCGAGGGCUAGUUGGAAAUAAAUGCGUGUUAUGUUGACAGUGUGUGAGUGAUUUUUAAUUAUUGACAACUUUUAACAAUGGAUCUCUAGGCUCUUGCAUCGAUGAAGAACGCAGC
rnacentral:misc_RNA from 1 species